GGCAGGAUGUACUUGGGCUGGAACUCAAUUCAGCUGCUCACACACAGGCAUCUAUUACCAUCUGAGAUCCCCUCGGAAGUCCAAGAAGCACACAAGGCUGGAAGACAUGGCACACAGAGCCUCUGCGAGCAGUUAGUUGUGUCCUGGCCUCCUCAGCUGGCUGUAGGGAUCAACCUUCCUACUCACAGGCUUCCAUGGCCAUGGAAAAAUCUUUUUUGAAGCUCCUCUUUGAGUUCCCUGUGGCAAGAAACAGCUGUUUCUGUUCUAAACUCGGCUCCUCAUGCUCUCAGGCCAAUCAUGUCAAUCUGGUGGAGUAAAGGUCUAAAGGAAGUCAGACCAAUGUAACUGUGUGGACACCCGCUUUGUUAAAAGGAUGGGAAAACCUUCUCCUUGGAACCUUAGACGAAAAAUUGAUGGUUGAAAGAUUUCAUAUGAAACAUACAACAAAAACCUCAAGCUGCCUUCCUCCUGCUCCCUAGAGGACCUGAAGACCUUGCUUAUAAAACUACCCACCAAAUGACAAAAAAAUAAUUUGCCCACCAUGAGGCAGGGAGAGACUGCAGUGAGGCGGUGACAAGAACUGCAAUACAUUCAGGUAAUAACCGUGAACGUGGAGGCUCAUCUCUGCUUGACUAAAAGGCAGAGAGAGUGUAUUCAUUAUUUAUUUUUCCUCGGGAUGCUACGGGCUGCAAUUUCCCUUGCAUUUGCUUAGCACUCUAAUCCCAGUUUAUGAACCAC
ensembl:lncRNA